GUUCUUCCUGGGCGGCGGCAGCCACGCCGCUUCGGCCAGCGCGCCGGCCAAGCCGAAGGAGCCCGUGUUCGUCGCCAUGGAGACGAUCACC
rnacentral:tRNA from 1 species